GCAACUGGACAAUUUUGGAUAGGAGAUUCUGCCGGCGACAACGAACAGAACCGACAAUCGGAAACCAACUCGAACUAGCACUGAGCUUCGAACAGAUAGCGAUGACCUCGACGGCUCGAUGACUGGAAACCUCUCACGUUCUGUCACUAUUUCGGCUAUAUUUCCGGCCACUCAUGGUAGCAACAGAUGUGAGAGGGUGGAACGGUAGUUGUGUGUGUGCGCGCUUUCAAUGGCAGGUCAUCAGAGUUACGAGAUGAGGAAGAAGUAGCUUCUAGUCUGUUCAAGUUCGGUUGUCCUCUCUAUUUUUCCUAGGGUUCGCCACUUGUUUCCAUGAAGAAGAAGAUGGUAUAUGCUUCUCUUACAAAUAAAAUAGUGGAAGAACAAAACGUAUUCCAUCUGACAAUUUUCACCAAGUGGUCAUUUUCCUUUCAAUGAAAUAUUCUCACCUAAUCACUAACCCAUAAAAUUGCUAAUGGAAUAUGUCUUUAACAUGACUUCCGCCUAUAUUGACUAUAUUAAUAGUCACCACUUUUAUAAAGGUGUCGGCCACAUGGUGUAUUAUCCCAACUAUAUUUAAUAUUUACUGAUUUACCCCGCGUAACUGUGAAUUAUCUCAAAUUAAUUCAAAUAAUACACAUUCUUUCACAAUCCUUUUUCUUUAACAUAGUGAUGCACUUUUAAUCACUACCCCUAAACACGGUGUGUUUUCAACUAGACUCACUCAAGUGAGUGUCACAUGAUUGAAAAUUUAAUUAUUAUUCAAAGAUUGUCCGACUCACAAUUUCAAAAUGCAAUUUUUUCGUGAUUUUCACAUUAUUCACACUUAAAACUUUCCGACUACACGCCUGGUCUGCGCACGCAAAUCGAUCGCAAUUAAAAGUGAGGUUUUCAAGGCCUCGAAAGCUUGAAAUGACCAAGAAAACAAGUAAUGACCCUUUGGGCCGUCACAUUCUCCACCUCUAAAACAACCGUUCGUCCUCAAACGGAUAAAAGAAAGAAGAACCUGAAUCAGGGAAUAGAUGAGGAUAACGGCUCCGCAUGUCAGGCUCGGACUCCCAGGUCGAUGCCUCGGGAGGCUGACCUCUCCACUGAACACGCACAGAAGGAAAGAUUUUUGAUCUCAACUGUCGAACCUGUCGGUCUAAAAUAGCUACCGGUUCCUCUUCAUAAGAUAGAUUCUUGUCCAAUUGGACAUUGCUGAAAUCUAACACGUGCGAUGGAUCGCCGUGAUAUUUCCGAAGCAUGGAUAUGUGAAACAGUGGAUACACAGCUGACAAAUUACAUGGCAAAGCAAGUUUAUAAGCCACCUCUCCCACACGAUCAAGAAUCGCAAACGGGCUAAUAAACCUAGGGCUAGGUUUGCCCUUCUUCCCAAAUCAUAUAACGCCCUUCAUAAGUGAUACACGGAGCAAUACCUGAUCAAUGACCGUAAAUGCUAAAUCCCUAACCUUGCGGUCUGCAUAACUUCUGGACUGAGCUGCACGAAGCCUAUACUGAAUAAUCUUGACCUUAUCUAAGGCCUUUUGUACUAAAUCUGUACCCAACAAUCGAGUCUCUCCUGGUUCAAACCAUCCAACCGGAGAACAACACCGCCUGCCAUACAAGGCUUCAUAAAGAGCCAUCUGAGUGCUCGAUUGAUAGAUAUUAUUAUAAGCAAACUCCGCCAAAGGCAGGAAAUGAUCCCACGAACCUCUAAAAUCAAUAACACAGGCUUGGAGCAUAUCUUCUAAAAUUUGAAUAGUCCUCUCAGACUGACCGUCCGUCUGGGGAUGAAAAGUUGUACUCAGUUGAACCUGGGUGCUCAACUCUUUCUAAAACGCCUUCCAAAAAUACGAGGUAAACUGCAAACCUCGAUCCAAAAUGAUAGAUAUAGGCACCCCAUGAAGGCGAACAAUCUCCACGAUAUAAAUCCUUGCUAAUCUCUCGGAUGAAUAGGUGGUGGCAACAGGAAAAAAAUAUGCUGACUUGGUCAGUCUAUCCACAAUAACCCAAACCGCAUCAAACUUCUUCUGAGUCAUCGGAAAGCCAGUAACAAAGUCCAUACUGAUCCGCUCUCACUUCCACUCGGGAAGCUCAAUUUUCUGAAAUAGCCCACUGGGCCUCUGAUGCUCAUAUUUAACCUGUUAACGGUUCAAACACCGUGCUACAUAUGCCACAAUAUCCUUUUUCAUUAUACGCCACCAAUAAUAUUGCCGCAAAUCCUGAUACAUCUUUGUUGCGCCUGGAUGAAUAGAAUACCGGGAACUGUGAGCUUCCUCUAAAAUUAAUUCUCGAAGCCCAUCAACAUUUAGCACACAAAUUUGUCCAUGUAAUAUCGAAAGUCCAUGAGCAUCUAAGGUGACCUUCUUGGAACCUCCUCGCUAAACCGUGUCUUUUAGAACACAUAAAUGGCGAUCAUCAACUGCCGGUCGCGGAUAUGCUCAAAUAAUGAAGAACGAGCGACCGUGCAAGCUAAUACUCAACUAGGCUCAAAAAUAUUCAAUCUCACAAAUCGAUUGUCUAAGGCCUGAACAUCCAUAUCAAGCGGCCUCUAACCCCGACCAGAAUAUAAGCAAGACUGCCAUACUGGCUGACUUCCUGCUCAAAGCAUCGACAUCACAUUUAUUUUCCCCUGGUGAUAUAAAAAGGUGAUGUCAUAAUCCUUCAACAAUUUCAUCCAUCUUUUCUGCCUCAAAUUCAACUCCUUCUGUAUAAACAGAUAUUGAAGGUUCUUAUGAUCAGUGAAUACUUCACAUGCCACACCAUACAAAUAAUGCCUCCAAAUCUUUAACGCGUGAACACUCGGCACCAACUACAGGUCUUUAACUGAAUAGUUCUUUUCAUGAAUCUUCAUUUGCCUCGAAGCAUAGGCAAUAACAUUUCCAUCCGGUAUCAACAGUGCAUCAAGCCCAAUACGGGAAGCAUCACACUAGAUUGUAUAAGGUCCCGACCUGUGGGCAAAAACCAACACCGGUGUUGUGGUCAAGGCUAUCUUGAGCUUCUGAAAGCUCACCUCACACUCAUCCAACCAUUCGAACUGGAUACCUUUCUGGUUCAAUCUGGUCAACGGGGUGGCAAUAGAUGAAAACCCCUACACAAAUCACCGAUAAUAACCUGCUAAUCCCAAGAAACUCCGGAUUUCUAUGGCUGAUAUUGGUCUAGGACAGUUCUUGACUGCCUCAAUCUUCCUUAGAUCAACCUGAAUAUCUUCUGCCGUCACAACAUGACCUAGGAAUGCAACUGAACUUAACUAGAUCUUACACUUUGGAAUUUGCAUAUAGUUGACUAUUUUCAGAGUCUAAAGAGCCACUCUAAGAUGAUGUGCAUGCUCCUCCUGACUGCGGGACUAUAUCAAUAUAUCAUCAAUGAAGACUAUCACGAGCAAGUCUAAAUAAGCCAUGCACACUCGGUUCAUCAAAUCCAUAAGAGCUGCUGGGGCAUUUGUCAGCCCAAAAGACAUGGCCAGGAACUCAUAAUGAAACUUAUCUCUUUAUUGGCGCAUCUCAAUUUUCCAAAUUCUCCUAACUCCCACUUUAUCAGAAAUUUCGACAGAGUCUCCUCUAUAAUUGGGCCUAUCCACCUGUCAGAGUGAUACCCAAAUCAACUCCUAGCAAUAUUUUCACAACCCGACAACAUACCUUAAAGAAUACAUCAAAACAUAAAUGACUAAAUAUGAUUAGAAGUUAUUCAAGAAUUAUCAAAUAAUCCUAACGGGUAUUACUCCCAUUUAAAAUAUAAUACAAGAUUUUUAUUUUAUAAAAGAAAAAUUUUUAACCCAAAAACUUUUCACCAGGACCUUGUCCUUAUAUAACAUACACCGCAGCUUCUGGCUUGGUUCAAAAUAUUUUACAUUAUAUAAAAAUUUGAGAAUCUCAUCCUCAACUCUAAAUCACAAGUAUUUGCACAUUAUACUAACUGAAAUCUUUCAUUUCCGUUCUUUCUUCUUCUCAAUAAUUUUUGUCAAAUAAAAUCACAACAUAAAAUGAACCCUCAUGCCGAUAGGGCAUAUAAUUGACAAUUGAAAUUAAUUAUCCAGAAGUUACAUCAAAACCACUGUAGUAAGUAAUAUAAAGUCACUUUUGGCCUCAUAGCUAUUCUAACACAUAAUAAUAGGGAUAGCUAUUUUCAUAUAAUAGCCCAACGUAAGUAUUCAUAUAAGUAGAUUUGAUGAUUACGAAGUUCACUCAUGAGUGGAGAAUAAUAAGAGGACUCGCCUCAAUUUUUCAAAACCAAAUCAAAUUAAGGUGAAUAUCCUUUUAUAACCAUCGGAAUUGUGCAUGUGAUGACACUAUCUGGUGUAGUGACCUCAGUCAUACCAUAGAAAUUAUAUCAAUGGCUGAGUCUCCACCUCUAGGAGCCCCACCUCCAUCUUUAACCUCCUGAUCCGUACCUUUGGCUGGUCAUGUAAGUUGAGUAUUGACUGCAAUGGGGCACGUAGCCUUAGCGCUUUCAUAAAUCAUAUUUCUCCAAUCUACCACAUUCACAACAAUUCCUUUGAGGCUCAACUAACUUAUUGUACCUGAUGACAUAUUCGGACAUUGUCAUGGUGACCUGGCACAAUCGUGCAGAUCGCAUAUACUACAUAUUGCUAAAAAUUCGGGAGAUAAACUCCUUCAAGACAUAUCUUAAAAUAGAGUUGAGUAGGUAGUGUCGCAUUGUCCAGUCUGCCCUCCUCGUAGGCUUGUCACAAACACCGACGACCAAUUUCCUCUUUUUCCAUGCUGGCUUGACACUGAUGAGCUACCCCUUUGUUCGUAUACUCUUCAUUAUUCCUUGGGGGCGAUCCUUACCCCCUGCAAGGUACCAAACCUUAAACAUGUAUAAUUAUUUGGGGAAUAUAUAUAUAUAUAUAUAUAUAUAUAUAUAUAUAUAUACCAAGCCAAAACUGACAUUACACAUGGCCAUCUGGUCCAUUCACUAAUAGUGGAAUUCCCACUUUUUGGCUCUAAGUCAAAGUUACAACAUUCGGCAAUCCACAAUAUUUUUCCUCCACAACUCAAAUAAAUUAACCAUACAUCAAGGUCCGUUGAACCCUUGUAUGAUUCAUUAGGUGAUUUCUUGAUACAUCUGCAUCUUUCGUUGGAACCACAAUUAGUCUGGUAAAUACAUUAUCUUUCCACUAUUUCUAUUUGUCAUCCGAAGCACAGUAAAAUUAACCCCCUCGCUUUCGACUAUUCCCACGUUCUGCAAUACCUCAUAGCAGCGGUCAAGAAACUCCCGUGGGUUCUUAAAAGAUGCAUCGCUGAAGGUGGUAGCGAAGAGUUUGGUAAAACAUAUCUGACCUCCGCAAAACCUCUGAAGGUGUCGUGGUUCUAUCACCAGCACGUGCUAUUGUUCGGCUGAAGAAGUGGUACGUGACUUCGCCAUUCGUGGGAAGACAAGAGUAGAAAUUCAAUUAGCUUUUGAAGAACAAUUUCGACAGGAAAGAAUGAAGGUGAAAUUUUCCUAAUUCUGUAGCCUCUAGGGGAUGAAUACAGACGUCUCCUUACCGAUACCUCAGACUCUACAAAGGUUGCUCGUGAGUUGUGAGACCUAUGUAACCUAGUGCUCCGAUGCCAACUGUCACGGCCCGAAAUUUCCCACCAUCGGGAGUCGUGUGCCUACUAAUAGGAGCUAGGCAAGCCAACUCUUACUUGUAUUUCGAUUUUUAACAAUACUUAUUUAAAGCUAUUAUCAACAAUAUUAAAAUUUCAGCGGAGUAAUUAAAUUUAGCGGAAGACUUAGUAAGUUUUACUAGAUGCAAUACUAAAAUUCCAACAUAAACACUACCCAAGAACUAGUGUCACAAUGCUCACAAACUUCUAUGAAUACUAAACACAACCGUUUGAAAGAAAUAUAAAACUGGUUUUCUCGAAUACAUCAGAUAACAGAUUGAUAAUAAAGAUAGAAGAGACAUCGGGUCCUGAGGACGCCUGCAAGGCUACCUCGGUGUCUCGAUGAUCAGAAUGCAAACAACCGUACUACUGCUACUAUUGUUGCCAGUAACCUGUAUCUGUGCAAAAAGAGCGCAUAUUAUAGAAUUAACACAACCGACGCCAUGUGCUGGUAAGUGUCUGGCCUAUCCCGGCGAAGUAGUGAUAAGGCUAUAACCAGACACUCACAUAAACAUAUACAGUUCAAAAUAUAUAUACAACAAAAAUACCAGGAAGAAACAUUAAGUAUUUGGGAAGGGAAACAUGCUCUGGGGUAGUGGCAAAAUAUAAUGUCAGAAAUAGAAUAAUGGAAUUUAAUUCACUUUCAAGUUCAACUCAUCUUGUUGCAGGCAUGCAACCCGUUUUCAUCACAAUAAAAUUUGUAGUAGACGUACCAUUGGAUAUCAUUUGAAUAUAUUAUAUAAGGGAUUGACCCAAUUUAUUAUGUAUAUUGUGGACGGCGUUCCACACGAUCCCAUUUCAAUAUAUAAGUGGUCGGCGUGCCACACGAUCCUAUUUCAAUAUAUAAGUAGUCGGCUUGCAACACGAUCCCAUUUCAAUAAAUAUGUGGUCGGCAUGCCACACAAUCCCAUUUUAAUAUAUAAGUGGUCGGCGUGCCACACAAUCCCAUUUCACUUUUAACAUAGUUCCAAAAAAUAUAUUAUUGGCAAGAGAAAACAAUAACUCGGUGCCAAGGCUCAAAAAUGAAUCUUUGUCUUUUAUUCACUUCUUACUCAAUUAUCAUGUCAUUGUUCGUGCCCACGCUCGAGGAAUUCACAAUUUAUAAUUUGCUUUUCACACUUAUCACAUAAUUUAGAAAUCAACAAUUAGGUGUGGAUGAGUUACGCCAAUAUCAAAUAAUCACAUGUAAAGACUCAUGGUCAUACUAGACCUCCAACGUAUAGAUACUCGUCACCAUGCCUAUACGUCGGACUGCACACAUAGCAAUCAACAAAUAGACUUAACUCUUAUUUCCUCAAGCUAGGAUAGAUCAAACACUUACCUCGAAGAUUUAUGGCUAACUCAAUCCUUAAGCAAUGCCUUUCCUAUCAAAUUUGUCUCCAAAUACUUCAAAUCUCAAUAUAGCCGGAAAAUUGAUUGUUUCUCUAUUCUGAACUCAAAAAUUCAACGAAUAUACUACUUGAGAAGCAACCUUCACAGCUGCAGAGAAAUUCCAUGUCAACACCUUCUUCCGUGCACCAAAAGGUGGAUUCAUCACAACCAUCUCAAAAACUUGACUUUUCCAUUUUUAGUUUCUAAUUCACAUUGAACAAAAUCCAUGUCUAAAUCAAGUUCAUCAGCGUUUGCAUAUGCAAUCACAAUAUUCCAACUUGGAUUUGUGUGCAUCCAUGUUUAUCAUAGCUUUGAAACCUUUUAGAAAACCUUUGAAUUAAAUGAAUUGAGUUGUAAAUACAAGCUUAGUAAGCAACUGGACAAUUUUGGAUAGGAGAUUCUGCCGGCGACAACGAACAGAACCGACAAUCGGAAACCAACUCGAACUAGCACUGAGCUUCGAACAGAUAGCGAUGACCUCGACGGCUCGAUGACUGGAAACCUCUCUUCUAAAUACAAGCUUAAUAAGCAACUGGACAAUUUUGGAUAAGAGAUUCUGCCGGCGACAACAAACAGAACCGACGACCGAAAACCAACUCAAACUAGCACUGAGCUUCAAACAGAUAGCGACGACCUCGAUGGCUCGAUGACUGGAAACAUCUCAAGUUCUGUCACUAUUUCUGCUAUAUUUCCGACCAAUCAUGGUAGCAUAGCUGCUGUCUGUUCAAGUUCGGCUGUCCUUUCUAUUUUUCCUAGGGUUCGCUACUUGUUUCCAUGAAGAAGAAGAUGGUCUAUGCUUCUCUUUUAAACAGAAUAGUGGAAGAAAAAAACGUAUUCCAUCUGAUAAUGUCCACCAAGUGAUCAUUUUCCUUUCUAUGAAAUUCUCACCUAAUCAUCAACUUAUAAAAUUGCUAGUGAAAUGUGUCUUUAAUAUGGGUUCCACCUAUAUUGACU
rnacentral:lncRNA from 1 species